GACGAACGCUGGCGGCGUGCCUAAUACAUGCAAGUAGAACGCUGAAGGAGGAGCUUGCUUCUCUGGAUGAGUUGCGAACGGGUGAGUAACGCGUAGGUAACCUGCCUGGUAGCGGGGGAUAACUAUUGGAAACGAUAGCUAAUACCGCAUAAGAGUAGAUGUUGCAUGACAUUUGCUUAAAAGGUGCAAUUGCAUCACUACCAGAUGGACCUGCGUUGUAUUAGCUAGUUGGUGGGGUAACGGCUCACCAGGGCGACGAUACAUAGCCGACCUGAGAGGGUGAUCGGCCACACUGGGACUGAGACACGGCCCAGACUCCUACGGGAGGCAGCAGUAGGGAAGCUUCGGCAAUGGACGGAAGUCUGACCGAGCAACGCCGCGUGAGUGAAGAAGGGUUUCGGAUCGUAAAGCUCUGUUGUAAGAGAAGAACGAGUGUGAGAGUGGAAAGUUCACACUGUGACGGUAUCUUACCAGAAAGGGACGGCUAACUACGUG
rnacentral:rRNA from 1 species